GGUCAGAGUUAGCCAUUCAUACAUUUCUUCAGCUUCAAAUUAGGGUCUAAACAUAUAUCAGAGAUACCUACCUUCCAUGUUUUUUUUUGGUUUUUCGUUUUUUUG
rnacentral:sRNA from 1 species